AAGGUGUGAAUGUGGAAAAUCCUCUUUCUGAAGGAUCAGAAGGAGCUGCCUGCUCCAUCUGCCCCAAAGGAAUAUCUGGCAUUUGGGACUGUGUUUUCCAGCUGACUCCCGGUGCUUUUCUCCUGUGCCACGUUCACCUCUCCGAAUUGUGGAUUCCAGGGUCAGCCUCCCCUGGCCAGGAGUUUAAAAACCAGAGGUGCAGCUCAGCCUCUGAAGAGCAGCAAGGAUGAAAUUACCAUGAUAAACCUCAAGAAAUCAAUUUGUGGGAGUGCAGACGAUGAUGGAUCAUCCUGCUGGAGAAAUUAAUUGUGUGAGGAACGUUUCUUCAGGAUGUCUUGACCAGAGGAGCAUCUUCCCAGCGUGUUGGGAUAUUUCUGAGUGAGAACUGCAGCAUCUCUGCUUGUUUGGAGGAAAUGCUGUUACACAAUGCAGGACAAAACAGCUCAAGCCACUUUAAACAGGAUAAAUGGAUGAAGGCUUCAAGAGCUCCAAACCUGCUGCCAGGAAUCCUGCUGGAGUUAAAAGCUUCUAACCUCACUCACUCUGAAUAUGACAGAAUCAUUUUAAUUAUUGCACUGGUUUUUUUACUGUGUGCAUUUUAGUAUCACUGACAAAUUGUAUCCAGAUCAAAUACAGUAUAAAUAAUUGAAUUUUAAUUUGAAGAAGAGUACUGUUAAUUUGAAGGAGUUAACUGGUUUAUGGAAUCCCAAGAACCUUGUGUUUCUAUAAUAUGGAGAUUAAAAAAAAGUAAUUCACAGCUUCAAAGAGAAGCAGGGUCCUGUGACCAAAAUACACAUUGGUAUUUUAAAUAAGAAGAUGCAAAAAAAAAAUAAAAAUGAAGACUUUAUGAUUUCUAUAAAUAGUCCUUGAAAUGGUUAAUUUUAGGCUGGGUUUGGUUAUAUUUGAAUGUCAAUCCUGCCAAUGCCAUAAAUGAAGUAUCAUCUUAGACUUUA